rnacentral:miRNA from 1 species
CGCACACAGUUUGAUAGUACUU